CACGUAGGGCGCAAGCGUUGUCCGGAAUUAUUGGGCGUAAAGAGCUCGUAGGCGGUCUGUUGCGUCCGCUGUGAAAACUCGGGGCUUAACCCCGAGCCUGCAGUGGAUACGGGCAGACUAGAGGUAGGUAGGGGAGAAUGGAAUUCCCGGUGUAGCGGUGAAAUGCGCAGAUAUCGGGAGGAACACCGGUGGCGAAGGCGGUUCUCUGGGCCAUACCUGACGCUGAGGAGCGAAAGCGUGGGGAGCGAACAGG
rnacentral:rRNA from 1 species